UACGGGGGGGGCAAGCGUUGUUCGGAAUUACUGGGCGUAAAGGGCUCGUAGGCGGCCAACUAAGUCGGAUGUGAAAUCCCUCGGCUUAACCAAGGAAGUGCAUCCGAAACUGCAGAGCUUGAGUACUUAAGAGGAUCGCGGAAUUCCCGGUGUAGAGGUGAAAUUCGUAGAUAUCGGGAGGAACACCAGUGGCGAAGGCGGCGAUCUGGGAAGAUACUGACGCUGAGGUGCGAAAGCGUGGGGAGCAAACAGG
rnacentral:rRNA from 1 species